GACGGAGGAUGCAAGCGUUAUCCGGAAUUAUUGGGCGUAAAGCGUCCGCAGGUGGACAUACAAGUCUGCUGUCAAAGUGCAGAGCUUAACUCUGUAAAGGCGGUGGAAACUGUAGGUCUUGAGUAUGGUAGGGGUAGAGGGAAUUCCCGGUGUAGCGGUGAAAUGCGUAGAUAUCUGGAGGAACACCGGUGGCGAAGGCGGCAUCCUGGACCAAUAUUGACGCUGAGGAGCGAAAGCCAGGGGAGCAAACGGG
rnacentral:rRNA from 1 species